CACGGCCUAUCAGCUUGUUGGUGAGGUAAUGGCUCACCAAGGCGACGACGGGUAGCCGGCCUGAGAGGGUGACCGGCCACACUGGGACUGAGACACGGCCCAGACUCCUACGGGAGGCAGCAGUGGGGAAUAUUGCACAAUGGGCGAAAGCCUGAUGCAGCAACGCCGCGUGAGGGACGACGGCCUUCGGGUUGUAAACCUCUUUUAGUAGGGAAGAAGCGAAAGUGACGGUACCUGCAGAAAAAGCACCGGCUAACUACGUGCCAGCAGCCGCGGUAAUACGUAGGGUGCAAGCGUUGUCCGGAAUUAUUGGGCGUAAAGAGCUCGUAGGCGGUUUGUCGCGUCUGCUGUGAAAACCCGAGGCUCAACCUCGGGCCUGCAGUGGGUACGGGCAGACUAGAGUGCGGUAGGGGAGAUUGGAAUUCCUGGUGUAGCGAUGGAAUGCGCAGAUAUCAGGAGGAACACCAAUGGCGAAGGCAGAUCUCUGGGCCGUAACUGACGCUGAGGAGCGAAAGCAUGGGGAGCGAACAGGAUUAGAUACCCUGGUAGUCCAUGCCGUAAACGUUGGGAACUAGGUGUGGGGACCAUUCCACGGUCUCCGUGUCGCAGCUAACGCAUUAAGUUCCCCGCCUGGGGAGUACGG
rnacentral:rRNA from 1 species